AUUGGGUGCUUGCAUCAUGAUUUACAUUUGAGUGAGUGGCGAACUGGUGAGUAACACGUGGGAAACCUGCCCAGAAGCGGGGGAUAACACCUGGAAACAGAUGCUAAUACCGCAUAACAACUUGGACCGCAUGGUCCGAGCUUGAAAGAUGGCUUCGGCUAUCACUUUUGGAUGGUCCCGCGGCGUAUUAGCUAGAUGGUGGGGUAACGGCUCACCAUGGCAAUGAUACGUAGCCGACCUGAGAGGGUAAUCGGCCACAUUGGGACUGAGACACGGCCCAAACUCCUACGGGAGGCAGCAGUAGGGAAUCUUCCACAAUGGACGAAAGUCUGAUGGAGCAACGCCGCGUGAGUGAAGAAGGGUUUCGGCUCGUAAAACUCUGUUGUUAAAGAAGAACAUAUCUGAGAGUAACUGUUCAGGUAUUGACGGUAUUUAACCAGAAAGCCACGGCUAACUACGUGCCAGCAGCCGCGGUAAUACGUAGGUGGCAAGCGUUGUCCGGAUUUAUUGGGCGUAAAGCGAGCGCAGGCGGUUUUUUAAGUCUGAUGUGAAAGCCUUCGGCUCAACCGAAGAAGUGCAUCGGAAACUGGGAGACUUGAGUGCAGAAGAGGACAGUGGAACUCCAUGUGUAGCGGUGAAAUGCGUAGAUAUAUGGAAGAACACCAGUGGCGAAGGCGGCUGUCUGGUCUGUAACUGACGCUGAGGCUCGAAAGUAUGGGUAGCAAACAGGAUUAGAUACCCUGGUAGUCCAUACCGUAAACGAUGAAUGCUAA
rnacentral:rRNA from 1 species